rnacentral:lncRNA from 1 species
AAUUUUAGCGAAAAAUGGCAUUCUUGAUAAAAAGUUUUGCUUGUUUUAAAACAUCAUAAAACGAUAUACAAUUCAAGAUAUUUAAAACCUGCUUAAUUUUUUAGACAAUUUUACGUAAAUACUAUAAAUUUUUGCACCAAGUUCGAAAUCGUAACAAUAAUCUAGUGUCGCUAAACUACAAUAUACGAAGGGUGUCGGGAGAAAAUCAUGGAUGUAACCAAUUGGGUGAUAUUUAGGUAAAUACGUCAUUUUCUAGAUUUUAACAAAUACUAUCACAUCAUUCCUUCACAUAGGUAGAAAACAUCGAAGGUUCAGAGAUUUUAAGCCUUUUAAAUUGACCAUGUCGGGAGAAAACGAUAUUUGUCCACGCGUAAUUGGCUGAAAACAAUGAUUGUCACCCAAGCAAUAUCACUUGCCACGUCGGCACACUGCGUAGUAAAAUGUAUAUUUUUCGGUUGAUUUGUAAUACACACGUGUUUAGAUAGGUUAGUCGUCAGUUUGUUUACAAAUUAUAACAACAGAGCAGCAGAUUGUUUUAUAACUGCGAAAACUGUACAGUAUUGUUUAGUGUGAGUUCAAUAUAAUAUUAUCUCAAAUGGCUAAUAUUGAAAAGAGUGAUGGAAAAAAGAAAAAAAAAGGGAAGCAUGUACGAGAUGAAAAGCAGAGAACAAGAAAGCAAAAACAAAACAGGAAUAAUCCUGUGACUAAACGCCUGUACUUGGUGACAUCCAUUGUUUUCUUCUUUAAAAAGUGGACAUUACUCGACUAAUUUUUUAUUUUCUUAAAAACAAUUUAACUCUUAUGCUUUGUUUACAUUAGUUUAUAUUAUCAAUACAUUUUUCUAUCAUUA